rnacentral:rRNA from 1 species
GACGAACGCUGGCGGUGUGCCUCACACAUGCAAGUCGAACGGGGUAGCAAUACCCAGUGGCGGACGGGUGAGUAACACGUGGGAAUCUGCCCUUAGAUGGGGGAUAGCAAGCCGAAAGGCUUAUUAAUACCGCAUAUGUAUAUGCCCCGACAGGGAUAUAUAUGAAAGGAGUAAUCCGUCUGAGGAUGAGCCCGCGUCCGAUUAGCUAGUUGGUAGGGUAAAAGCCUACCAAGGCGACGAUCGGUAGGUGGUCUGAGAGGAUGAUCACCCACAAUGGGACUGAGACACGGCCCAUACUCCUACGGGAGGCAGCAGUGGGGAAUUUUGUGCAAUGGGCGAAAGCCUGACACAGCGACACCGCGUGAGCGAAGAAGCCCUUUGGGGUGUAAAGCUCUGUCAGCAGGAACGAAAAAAAUGACGGUACCUGCUGAGGAAGCAUCGGCUAACUACGUGCCAGCAGCCGCGGUAAGACGUAGGAUGCAAGCGUUGUCCGGAUUUAUUGGGCGUAAAAAGUUCGUAAGUGGUUCGUUUAAUCCGGUGUUUAAAAAUCGGGCCCCACCCCCCGGAGUUGACUGGAAUCUGGCGGAACGGG